CUUAUUCAUAAACUGGCUACAAACAUCAAUUAGCUUAUAACCGUUUGUAUUACUGUUAUGUACCCUUUAACCGCCAGAGUCUGAUAUACCGCACAUUACAUAUCCAGCUCAUUUCGCCACAGUCUGAUAAAUAAGACAAAAAUCUGAUUUGGUUUUUACAGCACAUUUAUAACUCCCGUAACUAUGCCAACUUUACUCUGCGUGGUACAAUUACUGUCGGUGGCGACACGAGCACGCUCGAUCAAAAAUUGUUAGCGGUUAAAAGGUUCUGUCAUUUUGACUUAUAUAUUUCUAAGAAAUGGUUCAAACGUAAUUUAACUAAAUCAGGCCCGUAAAGAUUUAUGAAUAAGGAGUUAAAUUAAAUAUCUAAGUUUAUUGGUGACGGACUUCGUUUUUCAAAAUAAACUUAUUUACUAAUUGAAUUUAAUCCAAAUACAACCCUGGUAAAGCGUAUUUUUAUCAAUAAGCUCUGUAUUGAUAAAAUAUAUUUUUAUAAAAAAAUAUUUUGUCGAAAUAUGUAAGAAAUAUAAUUUGUAUAGUUUUAUAUUAAAUGAAUAUUUAUUGAAUAGUUACCAGUUGAGAACAAACACAUUUUAAGUUUAUGAAAUGUGCAUGUGAUAUAAAUAAAUGUGUACGAUUAUAUGACCUGUUUUAUAAUAAACAAAAAAUAAUUACUAUUUGACAAGUCUGUAACAGGCAAAAAAAAUGUUACACGUCAAUUUUUAAAAUUUAUAGAUCAUAAAUAUAUACAAGUCCAAAUUUCAAAAGACAGGUAUAUUUACACAAGUUAUAAUAUUUAUUAUUUUUAGAAAAUUGAUUGUUCGAAAUGGAAUUUUGCUCAAUUUUUGAUGAAUUGUAUAUUUUAAGUAUACAAUCAAUUAAGUAGGUGUUUUUUUAAAGCUGUGGAACUAAAAAUGUCGUUAUUACGACAAUAGCUCUUGUUAAAAUAUGACUAUUUAAAUAAAAUAAGUCAAUUUAAGAUUAUGAUACAUUCAUAAGUUGCUCGUCUAUAUGUUAUAUUAUAAUUCAUGAAUGACAAUGGACAAUAUAAUUAAACAUUAGAAUUCAUUUUUGUUAACCUACUUUUGAGGAACUAUAUAAAUUUAUAGUUUUUAAAAUCGGUUAAAACUUGAUAGAACAACAAAAUAUAAAUGAAAAUGAUUUUUUUAAAGAGGAAAUUAAACUACGUAUACUAUUCAUAUUUAUAGUAAAAUCUAACUUUUUCCCGCGUUUUUCUCUCGGCUAGCUUAGUUUUUAAUAAAAUAAAAUAGAUAAUAUUCCGGUAGUUAUUUUGAAAGGUUCCAAAGGAGGAGAAAGGCGCGGGCAACAGCUAGUUAAGUUUAUGAAGAGCUUUAAAUCAUAUCAAGACUUCUGUUUUUGUUCAAUUUUUAGAAGUUUUGUUUCCCAUUCCAUAGAUGGCGCUUUCAUUUCAAAAAAUUAUGUGAUACUUGUAUACUAUUUUAUAUUCAUUUAUUAUAUAUUUGUGUUAUUUAUUUGUAAGUUUAAUUACUAGAGAUUAAUAUAGUAAUAAUAUGAUUUAAUACAUGCUCUGAGAGUAUUCGAUGUGGAUUUUAUAAUUAAAUAUAUAUCCAAUUAAAUUAAAUUGAUAAACGUUCAAUGAAAUCAAAUUAAAGCUAUUACUUUCACGGCAUAUAUUUUAGAAACUUAUAUUUUCAUUAAAAAAGCAUAUUAUUUAAACAUUUGACUUUAAAAGUAACAUUUUAUCAAAAAAAUGUAACGCCAUCUGUCGAAAUGUUCACGUAAGUUUAAAAACCUCAUUUAAAAUAGUAAAUAGGGUGCCUACAUUCCACGUGAGUUAUAGAAAUGGGUAAAUAUGGAUUUUUGUACGAUCGUACUAAGAAAUUGUAAAUAAUAUUUUUUAAGAAUGUACUUUUGUAUCCAAUUUUUGUUUAUAAUAAAAGUUAUGGUAAACUUUA